UUAUAAUGUCUGCAUGUCUC
rnacentral:siRNA from 1 species